rnacentral:lncRNA from 1 species
GCUUACUGAACACUGUUCUAAGAACUGGAUUAUGGUGGUAAACAAAAGGGACAAAAUACAUUGCCCUUGUGGAGCUUACAUUAUAGCUGGGAGAGAAAGGCAGUCAAUCAAUGGCAGGUGGUGUUAAGUGCUAUGAAGACAAAUAAGGCAGAGAGGGAGUGCUGAGAAGAUUGCAAUUUUAAAUAGGGUCUGUUUUUAUUUUAGCAUUUAAUUAAAUAUUUUACAUGUCUUCCUAUUUUUACUACUAGAUUUUUAGCAACUAGAGAUAGGGAAGUUUCUAAUACCACUUUAUCUGCCAGCAUGCCCUACAUGUACUCCACAGAACAGGAAUCAAAACUACUUUCUGUGUUCCAUUUAGGGGAAUGUUUAGAGACAGGCCAAUUCUAGUACUUACAUGAAAGUUCUCUGAAAACUGUGAAAUAUUAAGCAGUUGUAAGGCAGUAGUAGAAGUGGUAAUAGCAGCUGCAGCAGUAACAUAAGCAUAAAACAUGUUUCCUACUUCAGGGAUCACAUGGAAUAUAAAAUAUAUACACAAAUAACUUUACCAUGACACAGACUAUAUUAAAUGCUAUAAGUACAAAGAGGAGGCCCAAAUAGCCAAGAAUUUAAAAAAAAAAAAAAAAAAGCAACUUCAGUAAUAAUCAGAAAAAUACAACUUAAAAUGAGAUUACUAUAACACAGAUUAUCACUGCCAGAAAGGCUUAAAAUGGGACUUAGAGGAUAGGAAGGCCUUUAACAGGCAGACAUGGUGAGGCUGGGCAUUCUAAACAUACAGGACCAGGUAAGCAGACUCAGAAGCAGGAACAAACAUAGUGAGCAUGCAGGUGUGUUGAGUCCAGGUUGGCUGGAAUAUAAUCUAUCUGAACGCAAGAGAGAAGCCCGAACUAAGAAGACUGAAG